rnacentral:lncRNA from 10 species
AUCUGAUGGUGUUAUAAUCACCUGCUUCCUCUUUUGCUUGGCUCUCUUUCUCUCUCUCGCCUGCUGUGAUGUAAGACAUACCUUUCACCUUCUGCCAUGAUUGUGAAGCUUCCUCAGCCAUAUGGAACUGGAACCUGAUGGAAUAAACUGCUGUGAGAGGGAGUAUUGAAAAUACUUCUCCCCUGGACCUUGUUCCCAGGCUCCGUGUGAAGCUGAACACUCCGCAUGAUCUCCCUGCCACCAUAGCAAGCUAUGAAGUUCAUUACACAUGCAGGUAGCAGACAAUACAGCUCUGCUUCCAUUUCUGAGCACCUACGGUAGACUGCCAUUAUUCAGUGUGCCAGCCUGUUUCCAAGCCUACAAUGUAUAGUUCCUCUAGUACGUAAACUCAUUUUUUUUCUCAGAGAGCCAAGUAGAGACACAGGCAGUUUUCUUCUCAAAAUGUGCCAGAAAUUCCAAAACAAUCUCAAAGCAUUAAAGGCUAUGUGCACAAAGUACAUGCAGUUGUAGAGUCCCUCUUUUGCAGAAACUUGCACCUCAGCCCACCAGCAUUUCCUUGGUGCUUCUCCUCCUGACCCUCAUCCUCAUGCACAGACCAUUGGAUAUUACUGCACUCACGUACUUGUGUACUUCUUUCUAACAGCUGACUGAAAUCUUUCCUACAUUUUCAGGGUGAUGGGCAGAAAGUUUUUCUCAGGAAACAUUGUAGGGAAGCUGGCAGGGGACAGUUAUAUAUAUGGGGAGGGUCACAUUCUAUUAUUCAUGGGUUUCCG